rnacentral:rRNA from 1 species
GAUGAACGCUGGCGGCGUGCCUAAUACAUGCAAGUCGAGCGAACGGACGAGAAGCUUGCUUCUCUGAUGUUAGCGGCGGACGGGUGAGUAACACGUGGAUAACCUACCUAUAAGACUGGGAUAACUUCGGGAAACCGUAGCUAAUACCGGAUAAUAUUUUGAACCGCAUGGUUCAAAAGUGAAAGACGGUCUUGCUGUCACUUAUAGAUGGAUCCGCGCAGCAUUAGCUAGUUGGUAAGGUAACGGCUUACCAAGGCAACGAUGCAUAGCCGACCUGAGAGGGUGAUCGGCCACACUGGAACUGAGACACGGUCCAGACUCCUACGGGAGGCAGCAGUAGGGAAUCUUCCGCAAUGGGCGAAAGCCUGACGGAGCAACGCCGCGUGAGUGAUGAAGGUCUUCGGAUCGUAAAACUCUGUUAUUAGGGAAGAACAUAUGUGUAAGUAACUGUGCACAUCUUGACGGUACCUAAUCAGAAAGCCACGGCUAACUACGUGCCAGCAGCCGCGGUAAUACGUAGGUGGCAAGCGUUAUCCGGAAUUAUUGGGCGUAAAGCGCGCGUAGGCGGUUUUUUAAGUCUGAUGUGAAAGCCCACGGCUCAACCGUGGAGGGUCAUUGGAAACUGGAAAACUUGAGUGCAGAAGAGGAAAGUGGAAUUCCAUGUGUAGCGGUGAAAUGCGCAGAGAUAUGGAGGAACACCAGUGGCGAAGGCGACUUUCUGGUCUGUAACUGACGCUGAUGUGCGAAAGCGUGGGGAUCAAACAGGAUUAGAUACCCUGGUAGUCCACGCCGUAAACGAUGAGUGCUAAGUGUUAGGGGGUUUCCGCCCCUUAGUGCUGCAGCUAACGCAUUAAGCACUCCGCCUGGGGAGUACGACCGCAAGGUUGAAACUCAAAGGAAUUGACGGGGACCCGCACAAGCGGUGGAGCAUGUGGUUUAAUUCGAAGCAACGCGAAGAACCUUACCAAAUCUUGACAUCCUUUGACAACUCUAGAGAUAGAGCCUUCCCCUUCGGGGGACAAAGUGACAGGUGGUGCAUGGUUGUCGUCAGCUCGUGUCGUGAGAUGUUGGGUUAAGUCCCGCAACGAGCGCAACCCUUAAGCUUAGUUGCCAUCAUUAAGUUGGGCACUCUAAGUUGACUGCCGGUGACAAACCGGAGGAAGGUGGGGAUGACGUCAAAUCAUCAUGCCCCUUAUGAUUUGGGCUACACACGUGCUACAAUGGACAAUACAAAGGGCAGCGAAACCGCGAGGUCAAGCAAAUCCCAUAAAGUUGUUCUCAGUUCGGAUUGUAGUCUGCAACUCGACUACAUGAAGCUGGAAUCGCUAGUAAUCGUAGAUCAGCAUGCUACGGUGAAUACGUUCCCGGGUCU